UACUUUCCAAAAUCUUCAAAAUCUUGAAUUCUUUAAUCUUCGUCAAUCCGCUUCAAUCCUUCAAGACUCCGACUCACUUCACGAAACUUGCCAAUACAAAAUCCUUAACAAUCUCCCCCUUUGGCAAUUUCGUGACAAAACUCACAAAACUCAAAAAUACAUAAAAGACUCGAAGUUCAAUUGUUAUCACCAAAACAUUGAACUCCUCACGUGUAAUCCAAAUACAAUUGAGAUUCAAAAUUACAUCAAAAACUCCUAAAACAGACUCUAUGACUUAGACGCAACUAGGAGUCUCGAAGUCUUGAUUUCCUGCAAAACAAUUCAUUCAAAAAUGAUUAGCCUUAAAUUCUUAUACCUUCUCCCCCUUUGUUCACAUCCCGAUCACAUCUCCCCCUUUGUUCUUGAACUCAUCAUCAUUCUCU
rnacentral:lncRNA from 1 species